UACGUAGGGUGCGAGCGUUAUCCGGAAUUAUUGGGCGUAAAGAGCUCGUAGGCGGUUUGUCGCGUCUGCCGUGAAAGUCCGGGGCUCAACUCCGGAUCUGCGGUGGGUACGGGCAGACUAGAGUGAUGUAGGGGAGACUGGAAUUCCUGGUGUAGCGGUGAAAUGCGCAGAUAUCAGGAAGAACACCCGUGGCUAAGGCGGCUCUCUAGUACGGUACUGACGCUGAGACGCGAAAGCGUGGGGAGCGAACAGG
rnacentral:rRNA from 1 species